CUGAGAUUGUGCCACUGCACUCCAGCCACUGCACUCCAGGAAGACCCUCUCAGAAAAAAAAAAAAAAGAAUUUGGCCGUUAUGUGGAGGACUGGAAUUGAGAAGGGCAAGAGCGAGGUAGAAGAGUGGUCUAGGGAGAACAGUUAGGGGCUAUUGCAAUUAUCCAGCAAGAGAUCUUGGACCAGGAUGGCAGCAGUGGAGGUGGUAAAAUGUGGUUGGAUGAAGCGUACGCUUUGAAGGUAUCAACAGGACCAGCUGAUGGAAGGGAGUCAACAGGACUAGCUGAUGGCUGUAAACUGGGGGGUCACUAGCUAUCAGAUGGCAUUUACUUAAAGCCAUGGAAGUAGGUGAGCUCCCUUAUGGAGAGGGAAUAGGAAGGAGGUAGACCAUUCUAUCAAAAUGCUCUUUCUACAGGGCACUUCUCACUGAGAUAUUAUUUAUCUGGGAUUUAUAUUAUUUAUUCAAUUUGUUUUGUGUUUGGUUCUAUUAGAAAAGCUCCAUAGGGGCCGGGCACGUUGGCUUUUGCCUGUAAUCCCAACACUUUGGAAGGCCGAGGCAGGCGGAUUACCUGGGGUCAGGAGUUUGAGACCAGCCUGGCCAACAUGGUGAAACUCUGUCUCUACUAAAAACACAAAAAUUAGCCGGGCGUGGUGGUGCGCCUGUAAUCCCAGAUGCUGAGGAGGAGAAUCGCUUGAACCCGGGAGGUGGAGGUUGCAGUGAGCCGAGAUCGCGCCACUGCACUCCAGCCUGGGCAACAAGAGCGAAACUCCCUCUCAAAAACAAACAAACAAACAAACAAACAAACAAAAAACAAAAAAAAGAAAGAAAGAAAGAAAAGGGCCAGGUGUGGUGGCUCACACCUGUAAUCCCAGCACUUUGGGAGGCUGAGGCAGGCGGAUCACGAGGUCAGGAGAUCGAGACCAUCCUCACCAACACGGUGAAACCCCGUCUCUACUAAAAAUACAAAAAUUAGUCGGGUGUGGUGGCGGGCGCCUGUAGUCCCAGGUACUCCGCAGGCUGAGGCAGGAGAAUCGCUUGAACCCGGGAGGCGGAGGUUGUAGUGAGCCGAGAUUGAGCCACUGCACUCCAGCCUGGGUGACAAAGUGAGACUCCAUCUCAAAAGAAAAAAGCUCCAUAGGAGAAGGAACCUUGUCUCUUCACCACAUAAACUGUGUUUGGAUUCGCAAUCGAGUUGGGAAAAAAAAAUCAGUCUGGAAGAGCCACACCAAACCGCUAACAGCUACUGUCUCUGGGAAUAGAACAAGGAGUUUGGUUGGCGCGAUAUACCGCCCCUGAACCUCUAGCCACAAUAAGGCUUAAUUAAUGACCGGACGACUUGAAAGCGCCUUCCACUGUUUAUCUCUUAAAUCUGCAACGAAAUGCAACAAAAACGCAAGAAAUAAACAAUAGAAGCCAGUCUUACUGCACACUGCAGAAGCCAAUAAACCCCAAAUGUAGCUCAAAACAAGGUGUCACGCAAACUUCUGAUUUUUUUUUGUUUUACACUGAAUCUCUGUCACUCUGACUAGAGGGCAGUGGCGCGAUCUCGGAUCACUACAACCUCCGUCUUCUAGAGUCAAGAGACUCUCCCGCCCCAGGAGUCUCUGCCACUCUGACUAGAGGGCAGUGGCGCGAUCUCGGAUCACUACAACCUCCGUCUUCUAGAGUCAAGAGACUCUCCCGCCCCAGCUUCUCCAAUAGGUGGGAUUGCAAACAGGCACCACCACGCCCGAAUAAGUUUGUGAACAUUUGGUACAAAUAACAAAUGACCAAGUUCCUUGGUUGUAGUUGCCUAACUUUUAAUACUUAAAAAUGUAGCCUCAGGAAAUAAGAGGCCUCAAAAAAUUGAAUAAAAACUCACAACUUUCUCUCCACGGAAAUCUUUAGUAAAAGGCGAAAGAUUUAUGCGCUUUGAAGAGAAACCCGAGUAUAUUCGUGACUUCCGCUUCGAACCUCGCAGGGAGAACUAACACUUAACACACUUAUGGUUGUUGGAUGCCUGCGUGGUACGCACUCCCUAUAUGUAGUUUAUGCACACAGAUGCGUGUAAGAGGCAUCAUGCUCUAAAACAGUGCAGAAAUGCGCGCACAGAGGGAGUGCAAGCAUCUUGAGGGUAUCUUUUCGUGGUGCACCAUGGGUAUGCAAAUCACAGGCGGCUCCGGGCUGUUCCGCGCCACCGGGGAAGCCAUGGGUCACUGAUCUCCUUUGCUCUCCUAUGCUCCUCUCUGCUGGUCCUCCUGGGACCCGCACCCCGUGGGCGGCGCCGGGUGCGGAGUCCUUUGCGGAGCUGGUGUUCGUCCCAGGGGUUAAGGUCCUGUCCCGCCGUCCUUACCCGCAGUAAGCCUCCGGGCUUAGAGAGAGGGACGGGGAAACAGACGGGCACAGACACUCAGGGGCACUGGGACCUCACAGGAGGCACGACCCCACCCCUCCUGGAGGAGAUGGCAUCCGAUCCAAUUCACCUCGAAGGGUGAUAUGGGGUCACAUCAAGGGGAGGUGAGGCUCUGUGCUCUAUUCCAGGGCUGUGGCCACUCUUCAAGGCCUCUGCUUAGUGGAGCUGUUCAACUUUCACAGAACAAACAACUUACGCUGUGUCCUCACUAACUGCUAGCACCUCAGUUUCUGAGCAGUUCCCGCAACUGAUCCACUGGCUGACUGGCCAAAGACACCUCUCGGCUGUCAGGACAACCAACUUACAGAGGCCUUUGCCUUGGAGGUUGCUCUGGAACCUGGCUCCUUUCCCUGGGUCCACAAACCUCCUGAGAAGCUCCCCAGACCCUGUUGACCUCUCUCUGCUUCAACUGGCUGCUUUCCUGAUCUGCCUCCACCUCGCCUUCCACCUGCUGCAUGGCUUUGCCCCUCUGCCUUGCCGUUUCCCGUGCGGGUGAAGCAGGUAGGUGGAGGUGAGUCUGGAGAGACGGGCAGGCUGGAAUAUGGUGGCUCUGAAAGCCACACAGUGGGGUUCUUUUUUUUCUGCUCUCGGUCUCCAGAUUGAACCCAGUAGGAUUUCACACCAACAAAAUUUGUUAUCGUUUUGUAUAGUAAGCACUUAAUCCAGAUGAUGUUACCAAGUAUAUGACAAAAAUCCAGAAUCUGGGGUCUUUUCCACCCAGAACUAGAGAAGCUAAUACCUCAGGUCCUGGCACCAGAGAAGCUCCUUCCAAUAGCUAAUGUUCACUUGCAAACUCCCCACUCUGUCCAAAAAAAAGCACUGAAGUCAUCUGAGAUUAGUUCACAUAGAAUAUAUUUCAUUCUUUAAAAAAUAAAACUUUCAUCAUAGCUA
rnacentral:lncRNA from 1 species